CAGAGAUGCGAUUAAAAGGGAAUCAGGUGAAAGUCCUGAACAGUCCCGCUGCUGUAAGUUUCACAAAACAGCUGUUAGCAAUACCUUUAGCCACUGGGAAAUCCGGGAAGGCGCAAACAGUUGAAACAAGUCAGAAGACCUGCCGUGCGUAAUU
rnacentral:ncRNA from 1 species